rnacentral:rRNA from 1 species
GAAGGACGUGCUAAUCUGCGAAAAGCUUGGAUGAGUCGAUAAGAGGCGUUUAAUCCAAGAUGUCCGAAUGGGGAAACCCAGUAGAUGAAGAAUCUACUAUCACUUACUGAAUCCAUAGGUAAGUGAGGCAAACCGGGAGAACUGAAACAUCUAAGUACCCCGAGGAAAAGAAAUCAACCGAGAUUUCGUUAGUAGCGGCGAGCGAACGCGAAGGAGCCUGUUAGUGAUAAUGACAGAGACAGAGGAACAAGCUGGGAAGCUUGGCGAUACAGGGUGAUAGCCCCGUACUCGAAGUCCAGGUCAUGGUACUAAGCUAACGACAAGUAGGGCGGGACACGUGAUAUCCUGUUUGAAGAUGGGGGGACCAUCCUCCAAGGCUAAAUACUCCUGAUUGACCGAUAGUGAACCAGUACUGUGAAGGAAAGGCGAAAAGAACCCCGGUGAGGGGAGUGAAAUAGAACCUGAAACCUUGUACGUACAAGCAGUGGGAGCCCUUUAAGGGUGACUGCGUACCUUUUGUAUAAUGGGUCAGCGACUUAUAUUUUGUAGCGAGGUUAACCGAAUAGGGGAGCCGAAGGGAAACCGAGUCUUAACUGGGCGAAUAGUUGCAAGGUAUAGACCCGAAACCCGGUGAUCUAGCCAUGGGCAGGUUGAAGGUUGGGUAACACUAACUGGAGGACCGAACCGACUAAUGUUGAAAAAUUAGCGGAUGACUUGUGGCUGGGGGUGAAAGGCCAAUCAAACCGGGAGAUAGCUGGUUCUCCCCGAAAUCUAUUUAGGUAGAGCCUUGAGCGGACACCUUCGGGGGUAGAGCACUGUUUCGGCUAGGGGGCCAUCCCGGCUUACCAACCCGAUGCAAACUACGAAUACCGAAGAGUGAUACUCAGGAGACACACGGCGGGUGCUAACGUCCGUCGUGGAGAGGGAAACAACCCAGACCGCCAGCUAAGGUCCCAAAGUCUAUAUUAAGUGGGAAACGAAGUGGGAAGGCUUAGACAGCUAGGAUGUUGGCUUAGAAGCAGCCAUCAUUUAAAGAAAGCGUAAUAGCUCACUAGUCGAGUCGGCCUGCGCGGAAGAUGUAACGGGGCUCAAAUAUAGCACCGAAGCUGCGGCAUCAGACGUAAGUCUGUUGGGUAGGGGAGCGUUGUGUAAGCGGAUGAAGGUGGUUCGAGAGGGCUGCUGGACGUAUCACAAGUGCGAAUGCUGACAUAAGUAACGAUAAAACGGGUGAAAAACCCGUUCGCCGGAAGACCAAGGGUUCCUGUCCAACGUUAAUCGGGGCAGGGUGAGUCGGCCCCUAAGGCGAGGCUGAAAAGCGUAGUCGAUGGGAAACGGGUUAAUAUUCCCGUACUUGGAUAAACUGCGAUGUGGGGACGGAGCAGGUUAGGUUAUCGCACUGUUGGAUAUGUGCGUUUAAGUUGGUAGGUGAGAAGUUUAGGCAAAUCCGGACUUCUAUAACACCGAGAGAUGAUGACGAGGCUCUACGGAGCUGAAGUAACCGAUACCACACUUCCAGGAAAAGCCACUAAGCUUCAGGUUUAUCUAAACCGUACUGAAAACCGACACAGGUGGUCAGGUAGAGAAUACUCAGGCGCUUGAGAGAACUCGGGUGAAGGAACUAGGCAAAAUAGCACCGUAACUUCGGGAGAAGGUGCGCCGGCGUAGAUUGUAGUCCCUAGCGGGCGAAGGUUGAACCGGUCGAAGAUACCAGCUGGCUGCAACUGUUUAUUAAAAACACAGCACUCUGCAAACACGAAAGUGGACGUAUAGGGUGUGAUGCCUGCCCGGUGCUGGAAGGUUAAUUGAUGGUGUAAUCGAAAGAGAAGCUCCUGAUCGAAGCCCCAGUAAACGGCGGCCGUAACUAUAACGGUCCUAAGGUAGCGAAAUUCCUUGUCGGGUAAGUUCCGACCUGCACGAAUGGCAUAAUGAUGGCCAGGCUGUCUCCACCCGAGACUCAGUGAAAUUGAAAUCGCCGUGAAGAUGCGGUGUACCCGCGGCUAGACGGAAAGACCCCGUGAACCUUUACUAUAGCUUGACACUGAACAUUGAAUUUUGAUGUGUAGGAUAGGUGGGAGACUUUGAAG